AUUGAACGCUGGCGGCAGGCCUAACACAUGCAAGUCGAACGGUAACAGGAAGAAGCUUGCUUCUUUGCUGACGAGUGGCGGACGGGUGAGUAAUGUCUGGGAAACUGCCUGAUGGAGGGGGAUAACUACUGGAAACGGUAGCUAAUACCGCAUAACGUCGCAAGACCAAGAGGGGGACCUUCGGGCCUCUUGCCAUCGGAUGUGCCCAGAUGGGAUUAGCUUGUUGGUGGGGUAACGGCUCACCAAGGCGACGAUCCCUAGCUGGUCUGAGAGGAUGACCAGCCACACUGGAACUGAGACACGGUCCAGACUCCUACGGGAGGCAGCAGUGGGGAAUAUUGCACAAUGGGCGCAAGCCUGAUGCAGCCAUGCCGCGUGUAUGAAGAAGGCCUUCGGGUUGUAAAGUACUUUCAGCGGGGAGGAAGGGAGUAAAGUUAAUACCUUUGCUCAUUGACGUUACCCGCAGAAGAAGCACCGGCUAACUCCGUG
rnacentral:rRNA from 1 species